rnacentral:rRNA from 1 species
CGGGCGGACGGGUGAGUAACACGUGGAUAACCUACCUAUAAGACUGGGAUAACUUCGGGAAACCGGAGCUAAUACCGGAUAAUAUAUUGAACCGCAUGGUUCAAUGGUGAAAGACGGUUUUGCUGUCACUUAUAGAUGGAUCCGCGCCGCAUUAGCUAGUUGGUAAGGUAACGGCUUACCAAGGCAACGAUGCGUAGCCGACCUGAGAGGGUGAUCGGCCACACUGGAACUGAGACACGGUCCAGACUCCUACGGGAGGCAGCAGGC